rnacentral:tRNA from 1 species
ACCUGGGUGGCUCAGUUGGUUGAGCAUCUGACUUCAGCUCAGGUCAUGAUCUCAUAGUUUGUGAGUUCAAGCCUCACUUCAGGCU